rnacentral:tRNA from 1 species
GGCGUAAAAGACCGUCGCAUCGGCCGUGCGACUGAAAAUCGUGGUGUCGCGGGUUCGAAUCCCGCCCUCGCCA